CGCGGCCUAUCAGCUUGUUGGUGGGGUAACGGCCCACCAAGGCGACGACGGGUAGCCGGCCUGAGAGGGCGACCGGCCACACUGGGACUGAGACACGGCCCAGACUCCUGCGGGAGGCAGCAGUGGGGAAUAUUGCACAAUGGGCGCAAGCCUGAUGCAGCGACGCCGCGUGAGGGAUGAAGGCCUUCGGGUUGUAAACCUCUUUCAGCAGGGAAGAAGCGAAAGUGACGGUACCUGCAGAAGAAGCACCGGCUAACUACGUGCCAGCAGCCGCGGUAAUACGUAGGGUGCAAGCGUUGUCCGGAAUUAUUGGGCGUAAAGAGCUCGUAGGCGGUCUGUCGCGUCUGCUGUGAAAACUCGGGGCUCAACCCCGGGCCUGCAGUGGGUACGGGCAGACUAGAGUGCGGUAGGGGAGACUGGAAUUCCUGGUGUAGCGGUGAAAUGCGCAGAUAUCAGGAGGAACACCGGUGGCGAAGGCGGGUCUCUGGGCCGUAACUGACGCUGAGGAGCGAAAGCAUGGGGAGCGAACAGGAUUAGAUACCCUGGUAGUCCAUGCCGUAAACGUUGGGCGCUAGGUGUGGGGCUCAUUCCACGAGUUCCGUGCCGCAGCAAACGCAUUAAGCGCCCCGCCUGGGGAGUACGGA
rnacentral:rRNA from 1 species